rnacentral:rRNA from 1 species
CCCUUAGCUGUCCGGGGCCGCCCGCGCGCUACACUGAAGGAAUCAGCGUGGCUUUCUCCCUGACCCGAAAGGGUUGGGAAACCCGUUGAAUCUCCUUCGUGAUAGGGAUUGGGGCUUGAAAUUGUUCCCCAUGAACGAGGAAUUCCCAGUAAGCGCGAGUCAUAAGCUCGCGUUGAUUACGUCCCUGCCCUUUGUACACACCGCCCGUCGCUACUACCGAUUGAACGGUUUAGUGAGGGCCUCGGAUUGGUCUCGGCCCGCUCUUUACCGGGCGGCGCCGUUGGUCGAGAAGACGCUCGAACUUGAUCGUUUAGAGGAAGUAAAAGUCGUAACA